GGAUAAAAGCUACCCUGGGGAUAACAGGCUUAUCUCCCCCAAGAGUCCACAUCGACGGGGAGGUUUGGCACCUCGAUGUCGGCUCAUCACAUCCUGGGGCUGUAGUAGGUCCCAAGGGUUGGGCUGUUCGCCCAUUAAAGUGGUACGCGAGCUGGGUUCAGAACGUCGUGAGACAGUUCGGUCCCUAUCCGUCGCAGGCGUAGGAAAUUUGAGAAGACCUGUCCUUAGUACGAGAGGACCGGGAUGGACGUACCUCUGGUGUACCAGUUGUUCUGCCAAGGGCAUGGCUGGGUAGCUAUGUACGGAAUGGAUAAGCGCUGAAAGCAUCUAAGCGCGAAGCCAACUUCAAGAUAAGAUUUCCCACCGCAAGGGUAAGACCCCAGAAAGACUAUCUGGUUGAUAGGUCGAAGGUGUAAGUGCAGCAAUGUAUUUAGCUUAUCGAUACUAAUAGGUCGAGGACUUGACCAAU
rnacentral:rRNA from 1 species